UCUUAUCGUUCUUACAAUUCGCUGCUUUGCUGUUUUCUACCUUGCAUCUUCUUUCUUUUCCACAAAAGGAUUCUUUUAUUCCAUCACCGGAACAGGUAUGAACAGCAAAAUGGAAGCACUGUGAGUCUUGUGAAGAAUUGACGGUCCUGGGAAGCACUGUGAGUCUUGUGAAGGCCUUGGCCACCAGCAGUCCAGCCUUAGGUGUGCUCUUGAGGAAGCAAUGUAUCUUCAGAGAACCUUUGUAAUUCCUCUAGAAUGUACAUCAAUCCAAUACACAACAAGAAAGGGAUUCUUCACCAGUCAAUUGAUGCCAGUUCAGAACAAAGGUAUUAAUUAUGGUAAUCAUUCAAGUUCAUGAAGCGCAAGGAUCAGAAUAACCGUAGUGCUAUUCUUUUUGUCAUAUUAUUUUCUUCCUUUAGUGGCUGGCAAGAAGUCGAAGAUUGCAGCAGAAAAGAGCCAUUCUUUUCUGCUGGCUGUUUGUGUAUGCCCCAAACCAUUUUUGUCAGAGGUGCUGAUCAUUGGUUGGUGUUGCAUUUACGGUUGGAGAGUCAAGAGUGUGUACCAAAAAAGUUUUGGGUGUACCUUUGGGUUCUACAUAUAUUUAGAAGUUUCAUACACAUGUUUGGUUCAUCUGUCACUCAAAAUGGCUUGGCCUAAUUGUGGUCAAAUGUCAUCCAUAUGUGGGCACCUGUUUGAAUACCUUCUUUGUGGGAGUCAAAAGCUCUAAUAUGACAUCAUUGAUGCUUUCGAAUGGCUAGUGUUCUAUUGCAGUCAGUUAUAACAUUGCUUUGCUUUAAAUUUUUCUGUUUUUAAGUGAUUAAGGUGCUUCUUGGUGAUUGUGAUGCUAUCCAUAUCAGAUGAGGUGAUAAAUUGAAAACUCAUAAGGAUAGGUUCGGCAUUGAUCAGUCUUGGUAUCCUUAUCUUGAUGGGGAUACCCGUCAAGAAUUUAUUUCCUGCAGAAUUGCAAAAUGGGUCCCACCAGAGCAAACUUUUUUAUUGCUUCAAAUGGGAGGACCCCAGGUUUCUUUGCUCCUCUUGCUUCAAGGUAUAUUACCUUCCACUCUGAUCCUUCUGAACUUUAUAUGAUUGUCAUCUCGGGAGUAACAGUAGAUCAAAAUUUUGUAUAUCCUUUGCAACCCCCCUCCCUCUUUCUCUUUUCAAAAAAGAAAAAGAAAAGGAAAAAGGCCUUUUACUUAUCAAAUAUUUGGAGAAAUUGUUUUGCCUUGGUAGGUGUAUGAGUUCUAAUACCGUUUCUUGUGUCAAUAUUCUUUCUGCCCAGGAGUUACUUUUAGGUGGAAAAUUUUUCCUCGAGUUAUAGUUUGGUUGUGCUAAGCUACUCGGGAAAAGUAGCAUUACCCUUUUGUGUCUUUUCUCAUAGUUAUCUAAUGUACAAAUACUCUUCUGAUUGUAUUGUAAGUGAUGUAGUAAUGUUACUAUUAUAUACAAAAUGAUGUAAAAGCAACUCCAAUGUAGUUAAAAUUUACUGAAAUUAGCGUGUCCGAUUGCUUUGAAGUGGUUUGCCAUACUCUUCCCUAUUCUCCUAAUUCUAUGUUUGAAUUAGCAGCUACAAAUUGCAUGCUUUUUCCAAUAUUUUUACUGUCUCACAUUGUGAAGCUAUUCACAAACACAUUGUAUACUGUUGUAUGUAGUGAUAAGAUGCAUGUGUGGUCAAAGAUUAGUGUAGAGUGAGAAAGAUGUGGAUGAUAAAAGCAGUAGUUGGGAUGCAUACUAAUCUGCUAGUGCUUUUAAAUUUUCAAUGGAAGCUAGAUGGAAGAAGUCCUAAUGAUUGCUUCUAAUGUUGCUUAAACUUUUCUUUUGGGGUGUAUGUGUGUGUGUGUAUGUGAAUGAAGGAAAGAAAGGUAGAGCAGCUUGGAGAAAGAGAAUCAGCAAAGGAUGAGAGGCAUGCUGAGGAUUUCUUUUGGCAUGUGUGUUGUUUAAAUUAGCUGUAGUUACAUAAGAACUUUCUGGUUGUCGAGCUUCUUAGUUGGUUGAGGAUCCUAAUGUUAUUUCACUUUCCUAAUUGGUUUAACAUUUCCUGAUCAGGACAUCACAUGGGUUAGAAGACUAGAAAAUUGUCCUUUCUUCUUUGUAUUUGUAUGUGUGGUUUACAAUUAAUGGAAUG